GAUGAACGCUAGCGGGAGGCCUAAUACAUGCAAGUCGAGCGGUAUAGAGACUUCGGUUUCUAGAGAGCGGCGCACGGGUGAGUAACGCGUACAUGACCUACCUUCAAGCCUGGGAUAGCCCUGGGAAACUGGGAUUAAUACCGGAUGUGAUAAUAAGUUUGGAUAUUUAUUAUUAAAGUUACGGCGCUUGGAGAUGGGUGUGCGUCUGAUUAGCUAGUUGGCGAGGUAACGGCUCACCAAGGCGACGAUCAGUAGGGGGCUGAGAGCGUGACCCCCCCAACGGGUACUGAGACACGGACCCGACUCCUACGGGAGCAGCAGUAAGGAAUAUGGUCAAUGGGCGAAAGCCUGAACCAGCCAUCCCGCGUGCAGGAUGAAGGUCCUAUGGAUUGUAAACUGCUUUUA
rnacentral:rRNA from 1 species